GAUAGAAAGCGAAGUGUUUGCUUUCCGUUUCGGCCGGGAGAUUGGUAUAAAUUACCUCUAUUU
rnacentral:tRNA from 1 species